GGAGUAAUGGCUGAGAGGCUGAAGGCACUUCCCUGCUAAGGAAGCAUGUGGGAUCAACCUGCAUCGAGGGUUCGAAUCCCUCUUACUCCGCCA
rnacentral:tRNA from 79 species